CAGUAGCCGCGGUAAUACGUGGGGUGCGAGCGUUAAUCGGAAUUACUGGGCGUAAAGCGUGCGCAGGCGGUUCGUUAAGACAGAUGUGAAAUCCCCGGGCUUAACCUGGGAACUGCAUUUGUGACUGGCGAGCUAGAGUAUGGCAGAGGGGGGUAGAAUUCCACGUGUAGCAGUGAAAUGCGUAGAGAUGUGGAGGAAUACCGAUGGCGAAGGCAGCCCCCUGGGCCAAUACUGACGCUCAUGCACGAAAGCGUGGGGAGCAAACAGGAUUAGAUACCCCAGUAGUCCCUGUCUCUUAUAC
rnacentral:rRNA from 1 species